UUAUAUGUCACAUCCCGACCCUUAUAUUUUUACCUUAUUUACUAGCGUGAUUAUAAUAAGAAUUUUACCGUCUCGAUCAUUGAGUAAAUAGUUUAAUUGGUCCCUAGAGGGGUUUCGGGGACGAUUAUGUGCGGAGGAUUAUUAGUAUGAAGAAAAUACGACGACGGUAAAAAUAGUAAAUUUUAGCUAGUAAAAGGUAAUUUUUAUUCGGGUAUUAUUUUUCGGGGUGUUGAAUUUUGGAUUAAAAGGAGAGUUGGGUCGGCUGGGCCGAGCCCAACCCAUUUCUUCUUCCUUUCUCUCUCUCUUCCUCCCGAUUUUUCUUCUCUUCCCACCCGAUUUUCUUCUCUCUACACCCAGCAAACUUCCGGCCGUCCUCCCGCCGCCGUCCGACCUCCGUUCGCCGCCGGACCGGUCCCGUUCGGUCGGUCUCCCUCCCAGCAACAUUUCUAGACCGGUGAGAGGAGCUCUAGCGCCGCCGUGAGUGAGCGGUGCCGCCCGAAAGCUUCGACUGCCGAAUUGGUUUUUUCGCCGGAACUUCCUCCUCCGGCCACCAAUCCGGGCAAGCUUGGUAUGGUUUUGUAGCCCUCCAACCCAGCAACCUUGCCCUAAAAGGACUCACUCCCUCUUGAGCUAGGUAAGGAGAAAUUUGAAGUGGAAGUUUUAUGGUGUUUUUGAUAUUUUUAGUCGAUAGCCCUAGUUAGGCUUGGAAUUGGUGUUUGUGCUAGUUAUGAAAGUUGUAGAGCUUGAUGAGAGGAAGAUGCUGUUAAAAUUUCAUAGGUUUUGGAGGUCGCCGGAAUUGACCUCCGGCCGCCGCUGCCGGCGGAGCCGCCGGCGGCACCGCCGCCGGUUGGGAGAUUUUAAUGUUGUUAAAUUUGGAAUAUUAAGGGGAGUUUAUUGAAGUGAGUUAUGGAAUUUUUGGAUGAGUUUUGGAUAGGUUUAUGAAUUUCCGAAGUGUGGUAUUUUUGGCGGGUAAUUAAUGUAGAAUCCGGCCGUUAGAUUUAAGUCGUAUUUUGGAGAGGUUGUAUUUACGACUGUGGAGUAUGAUAUUUAAGUUCGGAUCGUCCGAUGUAAAAAUAUCGAAGUUAGGCAAUAAUGAGCGUAAUUAUGGCUCUCGGGUAAUUUUGCCUAUUUUGAUUAAAUAUUGGAUUAUUGGUUGGGAAAUUAAUAUUAUAUUUGGAACAGGACGUGAAGAGGCUCGAGCAGACGAGACCCCAGAUUGACAUCAGGCUUAGGCCUAAUUCGUGAGUGGACGUUUAUUUUAAAUAAAUGCAUGCUAUAGUUCAUGGUUGAACAAUUAAUAUUGCGGAAUAUUUUAACGUCAUUUUAAUUUGACGAUUUUUAUUUUCUUCUUGGUAGAGCUACCGAAAAUGGGAUUUUCGGUGGAUAUAAAUAUGUAUUUAUGAGAGAGUAUGUAUANNNNNNNNNNNNNNNNNNNNNNNNNNNNNNNNNNNNNNNNNNNNNNNNNNNNNNNNNNNNNNNNNNNNNNNNNNNNNNNNNNNNNNNNNNNNNNNNNNNNNNNNNNNNNNNNNNNNNNNNNNNNNNNNNNNNNNNNNNNNNNNNNNNNNNNNNNNNNNNNNNNNNNNNNNNNNNNNNNNNNNNNNNNNNNNNNNNNNNNNNNNNNNNNNNNNNNNNNNNNNNNNNNNNNNNNNNNNNNNNNNNNNNNNNNNNNNNNNNNNNNNNNNNUUCGGCUAGUUUUCAUCAGUAGGUUACCUGUUCAACCUACUCGUGUUUUCUUGCUUCCGCUUGUGUUUAGUAGCUCUGAAUACUUUAGAAUUUUUGUAUAUUAUGUGAUAUUCAGAAGCGUUAAAUUAAGAGUGUAAUAUGAAAUUUUCGACUUAGGGUUGUCCAUCUGCAAGGGAGAUUUGCUUAAUCUUUUCAGUAAAUUUUCCUUGGAGGUGGUCCCCGCACGACUUACUCUGGGUUUCAGGGUGAAAUUCGGGGUGGGUCGUGUCAUUAUAAUUCUAGUAAAAUUGAUAUAUAUGUUUCCUUUUAAGUUCAUGAUCAGAGUGCAACUACCUCCCUGGGGACAGCCAAGCUUCUAUGUCACUUGAGAGCCAAAGACAACAUAUUACUGCUUGAAUCAUAUCCCCAUGUAUUCCAUAACAGAAGAGACAUACAAGUCAUUGCAUCUUGGUAGAUUCAUUCUGCUAACCUACAUACCCCGUAUUUUGCAAUUAGAGCUCAAUGCAGUAAGUGAUGUAGAGGCCAAAAUCUAUGUCAAUUGCAGAGGCUUGAGAGUAGAGAAGUGUGGUAUACGUCAUCUCUUGUACCGGUAAGAAGAGGUGGAGUUUGAGAACAGAAUAUGUCACAUCCCGACCCUUAUAUUUUACCUUAUUUACUAGCUUGGUUAUAAUAAGAAUUUUACCGUCCCCGUUAUUGGGGUAAUAGUUUAAAUUGGUCCCUAGAGGGGUUUCAGGGACGAUUAUAUGCAGAGGAUUAUUCGUAGGAGAAAAUUAUGACGACGGUAAAAAUGGUAAAAUUUUAGCUAGUAAAAGGUAAUUUUUAUUAAGGUAUUAUUUUUCGGGGUAUUUUAUUUUUUUUAGUUGGGUUGAUAUAAGCUUGGACCGGUUCGGGGUGUGAGGCCCAAACCCAUUUUCUCUUCUCUCUUUUUCUUCUUGGUUCCCCUCUUCCCCGAGUCUCCCGCUACCCGGUUUUCUGGCUGUCAUUCCGUCGCCGUCCGGCCACCGUUCGCCACCGCUCCGGUCCCAAACGGUCGGCCUCCGACCCAGCUAUCUCCCAGGACCGGUGACAGCCGCCCUAGCUCCGCCAUGAAGGAGCGCUCUCCCUCGAAAGGUCCGACUGUGUUAAGCUUCACGUCGCCGGAACUUCCUUCUCCGGCCACCAAUCCAGGCAAGCCAUAUAUGGUUUUGAAGGUUUCCAACCCAGUUGCCUUGCCCUAGAAGGACUCGGUCCAGUUUGCUUCAGGUGAGGAGAACCGGUGAGUGGAAGCUCUAGGGCUUUUUGUGUUGUUUUCGUUCGAUUGACCUAGUUAGGCUUGGAUUUUGGGUUUGUGCUAGUCUGGAAAGUUGUAGAGCUUGAUGAGAGGAAGAUGCUGUCAUUAUUUUAUAAGAAUUGGAGGUCGCCGGAAUCAGCCUCCGGCCGCCACCGGCGCCACCGCUAUUUGGGAGAUUUUUUAGGGUUUUAAAUGUGGAAUAUUAAGGGGAGUAUAUUGAUGUGAGUUAUGGAAUUUUCGGAUGAGUUUUGGAUAGGUUUGUGAAUUUCCGAAGUUUGGUAUUUUUGGCGGUUAAUUAAUGUAGAAUCCGGCUGUAGGAUUUAAGUCAUUAAUCUGUAGAAGGUUGAAUUAAGGCUGCCGGUAUGUUCGGUGAAGUUUGAGCCAUAUUGAGUUAGGAAUGGCGAAGUUGGGCAAUGAUGAGUGUGUGGGAGGCUCACGUUUAAUUUUGCCCAUUGUGUUUAAUUAUUGGAUUUUUAGUGAGAAAUUAAUUAUAUAUUUGGAACAGGACGAGAGGAGGCCCGAGCAGAGGAAGCCUCGGAGUGUCAUCAGGCUUACGCCUAAUUUGUGAGUGGACCUUUGUUUUAAUUGGAAAAACAUGCGAUGAAUUAUCUUGUUGAUCAUUUAUUUCUUCUGAUGAGACUUAUUGAUUUCCCGAUUAUUUGGCAAUUUUUCCUCCUUUGGAGAGAUCCCGAAAAUGAGAUUUUCGGUAGAUAUGUUUAUGGAUAUUAUGAGUAUAGUAUGUAUAUAAAUGCUAGCUAGCCAUACGUGCUUGGUCUGUCAUAAUGAGGUAAAAUGCCAUUAUGGUGUGACGUGAGUGUUAGAUACUAGUGUCAUAGCCCAAUAUGAAAACUACUUUCUUUUCUGGUUUAUUUAGGUUUUCAUAUAGGGAGUCCACACGUAUAUAAAUACACCGUCCUCUUCGGUCAUAAUGAGGAAAAAUAUCAUUAUGGCGCAACGUGAGCGUUAGACGCCAACGUUGUAGCCUUGUAUGAAUUUCUAUUUUUCUAAAUUGUUUCUAGGAUUCAUACAAGGAGUCUGACGGGUGUAAAUACAUACGAAUAUAUGAUUAUAUAUAAUUUAGCCUGAGAGGCUUCAUUUUAUUUGAGUUGGUGACUAGCCGGAGCUAGUCGUGAAAUUGUCAGUUUAUGAGUUGAGUGCUUUUGAGCUGCCGCAUGCAGUAUAUUUUCUUUGGAAAUUAAAAUGGGGAAGCAUAAAUAUUUUUUAUUAAUUUAUUUUUAUCCACUCACUCUAACGUUAAUAAAUGUUUUCCCUUGGGCCUUUCGUUUUAAAAUGCCCAGUCUGCAGAGUUCGGGUUGGACCUAGUAGGAGACUAGGCAUAGUCACCUGCAUUUCCACCACUUUUCACCAGUAGGUUAUCUGUUUAACCUACCUAUGUUUCCUUAUUUCCGCUAGUGUCUAGUAGCUCUGAAUACUUGGGUUUAAUGUAUAUUAUUUCGAUUGUGAGUGAAGGCAUGUUGACAUUUUAGAAUAUUUGUCAGAGGAUUUAUGUUAUCUUUUGGAUAAUUAUAUUUUGAUGUUUGGAUAAUGUUGUGUUGUUGUUGGUGGUGGUUGUAUUUGGGGAGCACGUAGGCUCCAGGAGUUAAAGUUGGAUGAAAAUAUUGGGAGUGUUUGCAGGUUUUCUUUAGGAAAGGUUGUCCAUUUUUAAGAGAGGUUAUGCCGAAUUUUUCGGUAAUAUCUUCCUUGGAGGUGGUCCCCGCUCGACUUAUUCCGAGUUUCAGAGUGAAAUUCGGGGUGAGUCGUGUUAGAAUAACUAAGUGUUGGACCUCUUUCUUCGAUAAUUUGUCUUUCAACCGUCAAAUUGUAGAAGCAUAUGACCAAAAUGAUCAACCAUGGAUAAGGCAUGAACCUCCAAUGCUUGAAGGCCAAGUAGAGGAAACUUUGAGGGGAGAUUCAGAGGUCCAAGUAUAUCAGUGAAAAAGGAUACACUUAAUUAUAGCAUUGUUUUUCUUAGUUAGUGCAUUGAUUUCGUUUGCAUAUUGAUACAACAACAAGAUAAGGAUUUGAUUAUUCGUCUGUCCAAAAUGGUUCAAAGUAACUUAUAUAUGUCUCCUCAAUCUCAGCCGCAAACCUCUCUGUCGGUGAGUUCUCCUCACCAACUACACUUUUAGAAUUGUUUUGUCUAAAUGAUUGAAUCAAACCCUUUUCAAUUCUUUUUCAGUUUCGUAGAUCAGGAGAAAAUUUUGGGGAAACCACACUUCGAUGUCAACCUUAAUUCUGGUAACCUCUGAAAUCAUUUGACUACCCUAAAUUUUGUAUCAAACAAUUUGCACCCAGAUGAGAAAAUAAUUGAUAGAGUUGGAAAUUGAUCAAGUUUUUUGUCAAACUGGUUUUUUGUUAAUAAUUAUAUAUUUGAUUGCGAUGAAUUCAUUUUCACAUCAUUUUGGUUAAUGACGUGUACUAAAAGUUAAAACUCUACUAAUAGAUAUCGGCGCCACCGAUAUCUAGUGUAAUCUAUCCAGGUGCUACCAUCAAAAGGAGGGGGUUUACUAGGAAAAAAAAUAAACUAUUCUAAAGUUUCCAACAAUAUACGUCAAGCGUUUCUUAGUCACUUUUUUUCUUCUUGAUUUUAACUUAAUUACCUUUUGCUAACAAGAGAAAGAUCAUGUGCCCCACUUCGGAAAGGGAUAGGUAACAAGGUGAUUGUUAUCUGUUAGGUCCAUUAUUUCUUGUGGCAUCUGUAGGACCAGGUCUCAAAGCUUUCGUGAAUAAAAGUAGAACCCUUGACGAUCAGUGUUCACAUACUAUUGGCCUAUUGGGUAUAUCCAGCAAAGGAAGACGAAGACCUGGUCGAUUUCCAGAGCAUUCUAAAGCAGUGAUCAAAUGGAUACAUGUUUAUGAGCAGUUGGUCAUGGAUGUUCAAGUCAACUUGGAGAUUCUCUGUGAUGGUUUGCUUAUUUCAUUUGAGAGAGACCCCCUGCUGCUGCUUGUUUAUUUUUGACAUUUUCAAAAAUAUGUGCUUGAUUCGUGGUAGUGAUGAUUAUAUGUAAGAUGGGUGUAUAAUAUAUGAUAACCUUUCCUUGAGAAAAAGAAGGAAUCAUCUAUUGAGUUGUAGAUAGAAGUUUGAGAUCCCAAUUCCUAAUAACCUUUCCUUGAGAAAAAGAAGGAAUCAUCAAAUGUAUUAUUGAGUUGUACACUUUUGCUAUUCUGAUUUUCAUGGUGUCCCUAUCAUAAUAUGGGGUCAUCCCACUAAAAUCUGCAGCAUGCGUUCGAUUUCAUUUUCUAAUACAAUGAUCGUGUUCCACAUUCUUAGGGGAUCAUUGAUGUGAAUGUAGGGGAGGAGACUCAGGAGAGUAGAGUGAAUUCUAGAUGAGCACCAUGCAAGUUUGUUACCAGGAGUUAUGAUAUCAUGUGUAAUACGUACACACUAAAAAUUAGGUGCAUCAAUGGACCCAAUUUUAUAUAGGAGAAGAGAAUUAUAAAUUAAAGGCUCUUAGGCAUUUGAGUUAGUAUAAUCCGUUAUUCGGUUACAUCAUUUGUUUAUGAUCCUUCAAAUUAUCAUUAAACCAUACUAACACAAAUCUAAAUAUUUUAUGUCUUAAAAGUGUUACCAAGUAUAAUCGGUUAUUCGGUUACAUCAUUCGUUUAGCAUCCUCCAUAUAAUCAUCAAACCACACUGGCACGUAUCUAAAUACUUAAUGUCUCAAAAAUCAAAAAUAACAUAUAACUU
rnacentral:lncRNA from 1 species